rnacentral:rRNA from 1 species
GAUGAACGCUGGCGGCGUGCCUAAUACAUGCAAGUCGAGCGAACGGACGAGAAGCUUGCUUCUCUGAUGUUAGCGGCGGACGGGUGAGUAACACGUGGAUAACCUACCUAUAAGACUGGGAUAACUUCGGGAAACCGUAGCUAAUACCGGAUAAUAUUUUGAACCGCAUGGUUCAAAAGUGAAAGACGGUCUUGCUGUCACUUAUAGAUGGAUCCGCGCUGCAUUAGCUAGUUGGUAAGGUAACGGCUUACCAAGGCAACGAUGCAUAGCCGACCUGAGAGGGUGAUCGGCCACACUGGAACUGAGCAACGGUCAAGACUCCUACGGGAGGCAGCAGUAGGGAAUCUUCCGCAAUGGGCGAAAGCCUGACGGAGCAACGCCGCGUGAGUGAUGAAGGUCUUCGGAUCGUAAAACUCUGUUAUUAGGGAAGAGCAUAUGUGUAAGUAACUGUGCACAUCUUGACGGUACCUAAUCAGAAAGCCACGGCUAACUACGUG